UACGUAGGUGGCAAGCGUUGUCCGGAUUUACUGGGUGUAAAGGGCGUGCAGCCGGGAAGGCAAGUCAGAUGUGAAAUCUGGAGGCUCAACCUCCAAACUGCAUUUGAAACUGCUUUUCUUGAGUAUCGGAGAGGUAAUCGGAAUUCCUUGUGUAGCGGUGAAAUGCGUAGAUAUAAGGAAGAACACCAGUGGCGAAGGCGGAUUACUGGACGACAACUGACGGUGAGGCGCGAAAGCGUGGGGAGCAAACAGG
rnacentral:rRNA from 1 species